CUGUUUGCUGCUGUAUGUUGAACAUUUGGCGUGACGUUAUACUAUAUAACAUCUAAACGAGGCUCUUCAAAUUUGCUAAUUGGAAAAUCAGGAGCGAAAAGAUGUGCUUUUAAGCAACAGUUUAAUCACCCUGGACAGUGAAAAGCAAAAGGUGACUGCAAGAAUUCGCAGAAAGAGACGGCGGAGGGGCAGGUCAAGUCUGUCUAGAAUGGGUUUCCAACGCAAGACUGUACACUAGAAGCUGAGAGAGACUCGAUGGAUCUUGUGAGAAUAUCAUCUGACCACUGGUGCAAGGAUGGAGACGUGGUGGUCACGAUCAGAGCGGGACUGUUCGUGUACAAAUCCCAGAGCGUGCAUUAGCUCAUGAGCUGCCACUCCUGACCACAUACAGCCUGGAGACUGCAAAGACACGAUCUGACUGCCUCCUA